CUUAUUGGCUAUGCUUGUGUCACAUGCCCACUCCUUGGACCAAUCACUGUCCUCAGGACCACGGGUUUCUAUGAUUUGUUGGAUCUAGCUAACAUGGCUGGAGGGCUGGAGACUGUGAUUGAAGACACUGCAGACUCACACACAAUCAACGCAGAAGACUUCCGUGAGCAAAUUUGGGUGCAGGGGUUCUCCCCACCACCAAGCAAGCAAACAAUUCUGCAGCAGACACCAAUUGGGUGUCCUCCAAUUCAAUUCUGAUGCUAUCUACUUGGAGAAUAGUUUCAGAUCCCACAGGUUGAAGGCUCAGUCCCCAAAACUGCUCCCUUGCUUGAUAUACCAGUUGCAAGUCUGAGCUUCUGAAACUUCUGACUGACCAGCUUCAAAUUGGGGUUCCCAUAAUCCCCUCUUUGGGUUCAGUUAAUUUGCCAGAGUGGCUGGCUUAUGAGAUUCAGGGAAGCACAUCUACUGGUUUAUUAUACAGUUUAUUAUACAGGAUACAGAUGAAGAGAUGUACAGGAUGAAGUAUGGAGAGAGGGGCAUGGAGCACCUAUGCCCUCCCUGGUGCCCCACUCUCCAGGAUCCUCCAUGUGCUCAGCUAUCAGGAAGCUCCCCAAACCCUGUCCUUUUAGGCCUUUUAUGGAGACUUCAUUGGAUAGACGUGACUGAAGCACGGACAACUGUAUUGAAAUGUGAUUGGACAAAAUGGCCUGCUGAGAAACACAGUUCAAUAACACUGAACUAGAGCAAUCACACGUAUGGAUCCGUUUAAUUCAGAUGGCUCACAAAGGGCAUGCAGUGAGAGAUUACCAUCCUGCUCCAGUCAGUCAGCACUGGGUUCCUCUUCCUGGACGCAAUAAGACUGUGCUUCCCUGGUCUCCUUCUGCUGAUUUCUUAUAUGUGCAUAAACAGAUGCAUAUAGAUAUUCUUAGUCUUGUAACUCUUUUUCAUGAACAACUUGAUAUGAUUUGCAUUUAUGAUCAUAUUCGCUUUCCCAAAUAUCCUUUGCAAUCCCAAAGACCAAAACCACUAUUAUAUUUGGGUACUUUGAAAGGCAGUGACUGUGCAGUAGGCUGACCAAACAGCUAUGUUUGCCUGAGACUGAAAGGUUUCCUGGAACCUGCUAAAACUGUGACAUCCCCAGACAAACUUUGAGGUCACAAGAAUUAGGCCUUAAGGACCACUGACCAGGGUCCCACGAAAACCACUACUACUUUGAGCUGGGCCGGUUGGUUCCUGGUUUUGGUGAUCAGGUGAAUUCCAGGUCAUUUAAAGAGACUACUUAACACUGUUCUUUUGUUCCUGGCCCUGAACUUGAUCUGGAAAUCAAUACCAAAGUUGCCAUUUCAAAGAGCUAAAAAGCAAUACCUUUCUGUUUUUAAAGCAUAGUUAGAAUAUGGGCACUGUCGUUCUCU